rnacentral:ncRNA from 2 species
ACCUGAUCAGGAGAUGGCAUUCCUCCUGUAACAAACCGCCAUAUCGGCUAAUGAUGCCUACGUCACC